rnacentral:rRNA from 1 species
GAUCCUGGCUCAGAUUGAACGCUGGCGGCAGGCUUAACACAUGCAAGUCGGAACGGUAACAUAAAGAAGCUUGCUUUUUUGAUGACGAGUGGCGGACGGGUGAGUAAUGCUUGGGAAUCUAGCUUAUGGAGGGGGAUAACUACGGGAAACUGUAGCUAAUACCGCGUAAUAUCGAAAGAUUAAAGUGUGGGACCUUAGGGCCACAUGCCAUAGGAUGAGCCCAAGUGGGAUUAGGUAGUUGGUGAGGUAAAGG